AGCAGCCGCGGUAAUUCCAGCUCCAAUAGCGUAUAUUAAAGUUGUUGCAGUUAAAAAGCUCGUAGUUGAAUUUCGGGAUCAAUUUAUUGGUCGUGCAAUAGUACGUACUGAUUUUAUUGAUUCCUCUCUUCUGAAGAACUACGAUGUCAUUAAUUUGGUGUCAUAGGGAAUCAGGACUGUUACUUUGAAAAAAUUAGAGUGUUUAAAGCAGGCUCACGCUUGAAUACAUUAGCAUGGAAUAACGAAAUAGGACGUUUGAUUCUAUUUUGUUGGUUUCUAGGAUCGACGUAAUGAUUAAUAGGGAUAGUUGGGGGCAUUAGUAUUCAAUUGUCAGAGGUGAAAUUCUUGGAUUUAUUGAAGACUAACUACUGCGAAAGCAUUUGCCAAGGAUGUUUUCAUUAAUCAAGAACGAAAGUUAGGGGAUCGAAGACGAUCAGAUACCGUCGUAGUCUUAACCAUAAACUAUGCCGACUAGGGAUCGGAUGAUGUUAAAUUAAUGACUCAUUCGGCGCCUUAAC
rnacentral:rRNA from 1 species